CCUACGGGUGGCAGCAGUGAGGAAUAUUGGUCAAUGGGCGCGAGCCUGAACCAGCCAAGUAGCGUGAGGGAUGACUGCCCUACGGAUUGUAAACUUCUUUUAUAAAGGAGUAAAGUGAGCCACGUGUGCUUUGUUGUAUGUACUUUAUGAAUAAGGAUCGGCUAACUCCGUGCCAGCAGCCGCGGUAAUACGGAGGAUCCGAGCGUUAUCCGGAUUUAUUGGGUUUAAAGGGAGCGUAGAUGGGUUGUUAAGUCAGUGGUGAAAGUUUGCGGCUCAACCGUAGAAUUGCAAUUGAUACUGGCAGUCUCGAGUAGAGUGGAGGUAGGCGGAAUGCGCGGUGUAGCGGUGAAAUGCAUAGAUAUCACGCAGAACUCCGAUUGCGAAGGCAGCUUACUA
rnacentral:rRNA from 1 species